rnacentral:tRNA from 1 species
GGAGGGAUGGCCGAGUGGUUUAAGGCGCACGCCUGGAGAGCGUGUUCACGGGGAACCGUGUCGUGGGUUCGAAUCCCACUCCCUCCGCCA